AUUGAACGCUGGCGGCAUGCCUUACACAUGCAAGUCGAACGGCAGCACGGGAGCAAUCCUGGUGGCGAGUGGCGAACGGGUGAGUAAUACAUCGGAACGUACCUUAUCGUGGGGGAUAACGCAGCGAAAGUUGCGCUAAUACCGCAUACGCCCUGAGGGGGAAAGCGGGGGACCGUAAGGCCUCGCGCGAUUAGAGCGGCCGAUGUCUGAUUAGCUUGUUGGUGAGGUAAAAGCUCACCAAGGCGAUGAUCAGUAGCUGGUCUGAGAGGACGAUCAGCCACACUGGGACUGAGACACGGCCCAGACUCCUACGGGAGGCAGCAGUGGGGAAUUUUGGACAAUGGGGGCAACCCUGAUCCAGCAAUGCCGCGUGAGUGAAGAAGGCCUUCGGGUUGUAAAGCUCUUUUGUCAGGGAAGAAACAGCAGCUCUAACACAGUCUGCGAAUGACGGUACCUGAAGAAUAAGCACCGGCUAACUACGUGCCAGCCGCCGCAGUAA
rnacentral:rRNA from 1 species